rnacentral:rRNA from 1 species
AUGUUCUAACGUUGACCCGUAAUCCGGGUUGCGGACAGUGUCUGGUGGGUAGUUUGACUGGGGCGGUCUCCUCCUAAAGAGUAACGGAGGAGCACGAAGGUUGGCUAAUCCUGGUCGGACAUCAGGAGGUUAGUGCAAUGGCAUAAGCCAGCUUGACUGCGAGCGUGACGGCGCGAGCAGGUGCGAAAGCAGGUCAUAGUGAUCCGGUGGUUCUGAAUGGAAGGGCCAUCGCUCAACGGAUAAAAGGUACUCCGGGGAUAACAGGCUGAUACCGCCCAAGAGUUCAUAUCGACGGCGGUGUUUGGCACCUCGAUGUCGGCUCAUCACAUCCUGGGGCUGAAGUAGGUCCCAAGGGUAUGGCUGUUCGCCAUUUAAAGUGGUACGCGAGCUGGGUUUAGAACGUCGUGAGACAGUUCGGUCCCUAUCUGCCGUGGGCGCUGGAGAACUGAGGGGGGCUGCUCCUAGUACGAGAGGACCGGAGUGGACGCAUCACUGGUGUUCGGGUUGUCAUGCCAAUGGCACUGCCCGGUAGCUAAAUGCGGAAGAGAUAAGUGCUGAAAGCAUCUAAGCACGAAACUUGCCCCGAGAUGAGUUCUCCCUGACUC